CGCGUAGGUGGUAGUGCAAGUCUGGGGUGGAAUCCCAGGGCUUAACCCUGGAACUGCCUUGGAAACUGUAUUACUUGAGUCAGUGAGGGGAGGGUAGAAUUCCUGGUGUAGCGGUGAAAUGCGUAGAUAUCAGGAGGAAGGCCUGUGGCGAAGGCGGCCCUCUGGCGCUGAACUGACACUGAGGCGCGAAAGCGUGGGUAGCAAACAGGAUUAGAUACCCUGGUAGUCCACGCCCUAAACGGUGGGUACUAGGUGUGGGGCUCAUAAGGGUUCUGUGCCGAAGCGAAAGCAUUAAGUACCCCGCCUGGGGAGUACGGCCGCAAGGUUGAA
rnacentral:rRNA from 1 species